rnacentral:rRNA from 1 species
AUACGUAGGGUGCGAGCGUUGUCCGGAAUUACUGGGCGUAAAGAGCUCGUAGGUGGUUUGUCGCGUCGUCUGUGAAAUUCCGGGGCUUAACUCCGGGCGUGCAGGCGAUACGGGCAUAACUUGAGUACUGUAGGGGAGACUGGAAUUCCUGGUGUAGCGGUGAAAUGCGCAGAUAUCAGGAGGAACACCGGGGGCGAAGGCGGGUCUCAGGGCAGUAACUGACGCUGAGGAGCGAAAGCAUGGGUGGCGAACCGGAUUAGAUACCCUGGUAGUCCAUGCCGUAAACGGUGGGCGUUCGGUGUAGGGGUCUUCCACGACUUCUUUGCCGUAGCUAACGCGUUAAGCGCCCCGCCUGGGGAGUACGGCCGCAAGGCUAAAACUCAAAGGAAUUGACGGGG